rnacentral:rRNA from 1 species
AUUGAACGCUGGCGGCAGGCUUAACACAUGCAAGUCGAGCGGGGUGAUGGUGCUUGCACUAUCACUUAGCGGCGGACGGGUGAGUAAUGCUUAGGAAUCUGCCUAUUAGGGGGGGACAACAUCUCGAAAGGGAUGCUAAUACCGCAUACGUCCUACGGGAGAAAGCAGGGGAUCACUUGUGACCUUGCGCUAAUAGAUGAGCCUAAGUCGGAUUAGCUAGUUGGUGGGGUAAAGGCCUACCAAGGCGACGAUCUGUAGCGGGUCUGAGGGGAUGAUCCGCCACACUGGGACUGUGACACGGCCCAGACUCCUACGGGAGGCAGCAGUGGGGAAUAUUGGACAAUGGGGGGAACCCUGAUCCAGCCAUGCCGCGUGUGUGAAGAAGGCCUUAUGGUUGUAAAGCACUUUAAGCGAGGAGGAGGCUCUUUUGGUUAAUACCCAAGAUGAGUGGACGUUACUCGCAGAAUAAGCACCGGCUAACUCUGUGCCAGCAGCCGCGGUAA